UUCACGUUUUCCACGUGCUCUCAGAUUCCAAAGAUUUCUUCUCACUCCUCUCUCCCUCCCUCCACCGCGCCGGAGCUCACCAUUGGCAGCGGUGGAUCAAUAAUUUGCAAAAACAUAAAAGCCAAAAUGCUCCAAAUCUUACUCUCUACCAGAAUCCAAACUCACAUUCAUCCAAAACUUCUUAAAAUUUUCAGAUCGAGUACAAUUGUCCAAUAACCCUAGCCUAUUGCAAUAAAAAUUAAAUGAUGAAUCCUUGGAAUCAAAGCCUAGAGGUUAGGGCUUUGAUUCCUCUCAUCGUGUUCUACAUCCUGGUAAUUAUUAGAAGAAAAUUGAUGAAGGAAAGAGAAGGAACUUACCGGAGCAAACGCCAGAAUUUCAGGAUUCCAUGAUGAUGAUGAUAUAAUAUUGCUAGUUCUUUGUAUUGAAAUGCAAGGCAUUGUUAGGCUGCAGCAGGAGGUUUGUUGGCUAUGUCAUGGUUGCAAGGCAAGGCAAAUUCAAGGCAUCGCAAAGUGAGACCAACCAAGGCAUGACCAAAUGCAUGCAAAAUGGGAUUUCUUGCUCUUGAAGCAACAUGAUGAUGGAAGCUCAUGGAAUAAAUGCAAGGAUAAAUAUGGAAUGAGUAUUAGGGUUUUAGGGAUGAAAAAUAUGAUAGUUGACUUUGCUCAACUAGUUGACCAAAAAGUCAACAGUUGACCAAAAGUCAACUUUUGUAAAAAAAUGCAUUUUUGAUAUUUUCUUUUGUAAUGGACAUUGUACAUGCUAUUUUAAUGAAUGAAUGCAAAUUUA